CUGACAAUGGACCCGCCUUUG
rnacentral:misc_RNA from 1 species